CCCCCAAAUUUCUCGGGACGCGGCGGCUGGGUUGGACAAUGAAUGCCCCCAGUCCAAGACGGGAGCUCUGUUCGUUGUGGCUUGCACAGAAUUUCUCGCCGCGUCCUCAUAUUUGCCGAUGGCUUCCUUCGCUGCUAGGGCCAUUUUCCGAUCCUCCUCCGGCAAGGCUACGGCUCUUCUGAGUGCCGGAGCCAGAGCGGGCUCGGCUCGUUCAACAUUUCGCAUUUCUUCCGAACGAUCUUUCUCUCAGUGUGCUGUAUGUAAGGAUUCCAGUUGAAAUGAGCUUGUGUGUGGAGUCCAUGUUUCCGCUCCAUUCUGCUACUUCUUCGGCAUUGAUGACUCCGAUGAUGCAUUCUGUCGCUCGCCAUAGUUAUGGUUGGCUUUCGGAAGAGGUUGUGGGCCAAAUUGGAUGGAUAAAAAGGAGGGAUAAAAAAUUAGAGGACAUUCUCGCACUAGAAUCAGAGCGCUCCAUCAACGGCCUCUUCCCUUCUGAACGUCAGUUGCCGAAUUCAAACGCUAGAUAAUUACCAAGCAAUCGGAGAAAGAGAGAGCAGAAUCGAAAGGAGUUUCUCGCCUGAUCUCGGUGAUGAAAAGUAGAGAAGAGAAGAGAACGGCGAACUCUCAUGUCAUUGAGAUUGGUUCCGAUAACAGAGUGGGGAGGAACAAAGCAGUUACUCUUGAUGAAGUGAUUGCUUGGGCAAAAGAAGACCAGUUGGUCCUGUCAUUGAGGCCGAAGUCAGACGCUCGAUCAUUACCAGGCCAUCGGAGGAAGAGAGAGCAGAAUCGAAAGAAGUUUCUCGUCUCGUCCCGGUGAUGAAAAACAGAGAAGAGAAGAGAACGACGAACUCUUAUGUCAUUGAGAUUGGUUCCGAUAACAGAGUGGGGAAGAACAAAGCAGUUGGUCCUGUCAAUUCAGGCCGGUGGGAUUUUCGCAUCUGCUAGGAAUACUGGGUCAUGAUGAUGAACGAUAUGAGAUAUAUACUAGUGCCUGGAUCAAUUUUUGAGACUGAUUUGAGUCUUGGGUAAUGAUGGCAAUCAAUUUGUUGAAAUCGAAGGACGGUCCGGUUCAUGUAAAGUUUGUUGUAAACAAUUAGGGAUCCAUGAAAUAUAACCACACAACCCACUAAGAUAGAAAUCGAGGACAUAGAUGAAGAUAAUGAAGUUGAGGUCAAGGAAUCAAACUCUGAUUGCUACAUUCAACACUCCAUCACGUACUCAUACAUCUUGUUUAUUCCCUUUUAAGAUUUUUGAAAAAUUACAAGUACGAGGAAGGAAGAAGGCGCAUGGGCUUAGGCGCUAGUCCGCGAGUGGGCGAGGGAACCUUGGCGUGUGGCAGCAUGUGUGGGCGUAUGAGAGCAUGUGCGGGCACAUGGCUUAACCCAUUUCAUCCGGUUCGACUUCUGUUUACAUAUUCUUUAGUCCUUCAAUACUAACCUUAAAAAUUACUAAUGGAAGGAUUCAUCAGUGGAAUUUUGAAGCAAUUAAGUAGCCGCUUUGAGUUUGAACUUGUAAAUGGUUAUGAGCAUGUUCAUUAUGUAAUUGGAGGUUCAAGAUUCACGACUAUUUCAUCUACGUACUUGACAUUGAAUUUGAAGAUACUAAUUGUAAUGUUUAAUCAGUGUUUAACGAUGAUAUGUAAUGUUUAAUGAUGA